rnacentral:rRNA from 1 species
UACAGAGGGUGCAAGCGUUGUUCGGAAUCAUUGGGCGUAAAGCGCGUGUAGGCGGCUCGGUAAGUCUGCUGUGAAAGUCCAGGGCUCAACCCUGGAAUGCCGGUGGAAACUGUCGAGCUAGAGUCCGGAAGAGGCGAGUGGAAUUCCUGGUGUAGCGGUAAAAUGCGCAGAUAUCAGGAGGAACACCAAUGGCGAAGGCAGCUCGCUGGGACGGUACUGACGCUGAGACGCGAAAGCGUGGGGAGCAAACAGG